GAUGAACGCUGGCGGCGUGCCUAAUACAUGCAAGUCGAGCGAACAGAUGAGGAGCUUGCUCCUCUGACGUUAGCGGCGGACGGGUGAGUAACACGUGGAUAACCUACCUAUAAGACUGGGGUAACUUCGGGAAACCGGCGCUAAUACCGGAUAAUAUAUUGAACCGCAUGGUUCAAUAGUGAAAGACGGUUUUGCUGUCACUUAUAGAUGGAUCCGCGCCGCAUUAGCUAGUUGGUAAGGUAACGGCUUACCAAGGCAACGAUGCGUAGCCGACCUGAGAGGGUGAUAGGCCACACUGGAACGGAGACACGGUCCAGACUCCUAAGGGAGGCAGCAGUAGGGAAUCUGCCGCAAUGGGCGAAAGCCUGACGGAGCAACGCCGCGUGAGUGAUGAAGGUCUUCGGAUCGUAAAACUCGGUUAUUAGUGAAGAACAAAUGUGUAAGUAACUAUGCACGUCUUGACGGUACCUAAUCAGAAAGCCACGGCUAACUACGUG
rnacentral:rRNA from 1 species